UGGCACUGGGAGAUGUUAAAAAAAAUA
rnacentral:piRNA from 1 species